UACGUAGGGUGCGAGCGUUAAUCGGAAUUACUGAGCGUAAAGGGUGCGCAGGCGGCGUCGCAAGUCAGGCGUGAAAUCCCCGGGCUCAACCUGGGAACUGCAUUUGUGACUGCAUCGCUGGAGUGCGGCAGAGGGGGAUGGAAUUCCGCGUGUAGCAGUGAAAUGCGUAGAUAUGCGGAGGAACACCGAUGGCGAAGGCAAUCCCCUGGGCCCGCACUGACGCUCAUGCACGAAAGCGUGGGGAGCAAACAGG
rnacentral:rRNA from 1 species